UUAAAACUGGAUCUGGGUUGUUCCCACCCAGAUCACCUACAUGGUGUUGUACACUAUUAUUACGGUAAUCUUGUACGCCAGUUUUAUAC
rfam:Human rhinovirus type 16 polyprotein gene, complete CDS.